GGGAAGGGCUGUGGGACUGGGGACUGAGAAAGACUCGGUAGGGCUGAGCUGGGCUCUAAUCACCAGUAAGCAGAACAGGGAGGGACUCAGCAGGACCUGGCUUCCUACUUAUUCACCAGAGUGCCCAACUCCAAGAUUCUAGAACAUCUCUAAGCACCCUCCCCCUCCAAAUCACAAUUGAUCUGAAUCAAAACUCUCAGGUCCAGGCCCUAGCCUGGUCAGCCUCCUUCGUACUCUGUAGGGGAAGGCAAGGAAAAGUCACUCCUUCUGCUCUUUUCAACCAGAAACUCUCUUCUUCCCACCCAAAGGCACCACCGUGAGCGCUUCUGACCUCACAACACAAAAGGCAGCUUUAAGUCUGUAAACUGAAAAAGCCCGUGACCAGCAGGGGGAGAAGAUGAAAAUGACAGACUUUCCCUCAACUUCCUCUGGGAUGAGAGAGCCCACCGAUCUCCGCCAGGAGGGCAGAGGUUCCCUGGACUUCCAGCACCCGAGAGAAGCGAAUGUGUGUAACAGGGAGAGCAGUGUCCUGUCUGGAGCUGAGUUCCUUCUCCAGGCUUCUCUCUUCACAAACUCAUUGGAACAAAGAAAAAUCCAAGAGCAGCAAAACAUUGACAAUGCAUCGAAGCAGCUUUAUGAACAAAAUCUGGCUUCACCAGGCUACUAGAAAGAACUCAUUUCCGAUGAAUGUCAUAAAAAUGUAAGAGCUUAAAGAAUAAAUAUGCGUGUGUUUCCUAACAUUGCUAUU